rnacentral:misc_RNA from 1 species
GAUGAAGAACGUAGCGAAAUGCGAUAAGUAAUGUGAAUUGCAGAAUUCAGUGAAUCAUCGAAUCUUUGAACGCACAUUGCGCCCCCUGGUAUUCCGGGGGGCAUGCCUGUCCGAGCGUCAUUACAACCCUCAAGCUCAGCUUGGUGUUGGGCCCCGCCGCCCCGGCGGGCCCUAAAGUCAGUGGCGGUGCCGUCCGGCUCCGAGCGUAGUAAUUCUUCUCGCUCUGGAGGUCCGGUCGUGUGCUCGCCAGCAACCCCCAAUUUUUUUCAGGUUGACCUCGGAUCAGGUAGGGAUACCCGCUGAACUUAAGCAUAUCAAUAAGCCGGAGGA